CUCCGCGGCGCGUUCCUGCGGGGGUGGCGUGGGCCGCGCCGGGCUCCGAGCUCUCAGCGCCAGCCCCUGCAGACUGCAAGGCUCCGCGCGGCGCCCGGGCGGGCGGCCGGCGCCCACAAGGUGGCAGUGCCGCGCUGCUGGUGUCCUGGCUGGGGGUCUGCACGCGCCGCGCCGGGCGGCCGGAGUCCGCGCUUCCCUCCUGCAGAAGUUUUAAUGAACAUAUAGACACACCCGGACCUGGGUCACCCCCAGGGCCGGCUGGCAGCGCCCCCUCAGAUCUGGGGGUUCCCCUGGGAGAGAUGCACGCCCCGAUGGCGUCUUUGUCCCAACUCAGAGAAUCAGAACUUGGGGCCUGUAACUGCCGCAGGAGUCUGGUCGUGGCUGUGGAGAUGCCAGCGCCCUAAGAAAAGAUGGGGCGUUGUCUGAGGCAUCGCCCUCAGAACCCGAGGCACAUCUGUUCAGACCUUCAGUGCUGACAGCUGUUUUUGAAGGUGAAUAUGAUGGUUGGAACCAUCCAGAAGUCAUCUUGAGACCAGUGAAAAAGCCAGCCCUGAAGAACCUCGGCUGAAGGAGCAGCCCCGCCUGGAACACAGCAGCUUCACCGUGGAGGGAAGAGCAGUGGCGAGACGACCCAUCAGCUUUGAAGGCCCCCGGCCGAGAUGGCACAGGCUCACUCACAUUUCAUUGGCCAAAGGGGAUCAAAUGGUCAAGCCCAAUGUUAGCAGGAACGGAAGAAUAAUUGUUCUGUGGGAACUGGUCUGCAGAGAAGGGCAGUGAAUAUUAUGAACAAAUAAUACAGUGUGUAACAAUGCAAUAUUUUGCUCUCUCCAUUUCUUUGAACCGAAUUUCAAGGGGAAAAUUCAGUGACAGUCUUUUAUUAAUAGAACUGAAAACUUUCAGAUACUGCAAUUCAAAAUGUGAUCCAGUCCCUGAAAAUUAACAUCACACACAUUCCUUUUGAAGGAUAACUUGUGAAAGUCUGAAACGUGCAGUUUGGAAGUGAUUAGCCCAAUUUUACUAGAAGAAAAGAGCAUUUAAUAAA